GGGACUUGCCAGGGUCACCUGGCUCAGGUGUGUCAGAGCAGCUGCCUGGGUUACCCAGCUCUGGACAAAAGAGAAAGAGCUUCGUCAUCUUGUGAGUGACAAAGAGCACUGGGACUGUAGGUGCACCCUUCCUCCCUCACAUCUGCCUUCUGAGUUGGCAUUGCUGUCUCCACCCUACACAAGGAACAGAGGCCCGAGACACGAACUGGCCUGAGACAACAGGGGAGUCAAGAGGCUUAGAACUUUUCUCCAAACAAGUGCCCCAGCGCGUGCGCGCCCACGUCGGGCUGUCCAGGUGUGUCUGCGGGUUGGCACCCUGUCCGGGUGUGUCUGUCAGUGCUUCUGGGGGUGGAGGGACUGGAGCGGAACAGAACAACGGUUGCCUGGGGAAUGAAGUUAGAAGGGCUGAACUGCAAGGGGAGGCUUUAGGCAUGUGUGCUCACGUACCUCAACCCUACCCCUACCUCAACCCUACCCUGUGUGCUCAAGGGUCUGGGGUACUCCUCAGCCGACCCUGGAAACCCAGGGUGGAGGAGGAGCCAACGCUGCCACCCGGUCCCCGCCCGGGAGCCGGCAGACGGGCCGGGGAGCACGUUUGCCCCCGAUUGCCUCAUCGGCUGAGUCUGCUUCUAGGACUCCCGCACGUUGAACAGAGCGUAGGGCGCGGCCGCCGGGGUUGUCCCGGGUCCCGAGUCCCCCAUCCUCCUUCUCAGCCUAAGUCCCCGGUGGCCCAUUAACCAGGCGGCCAGCGCCUUCUCCAGACGCCUCUGAUAGCCGCUGCCCUUUGCUCCUGCUGCCGAGCAGACAAACGAGGGAAAUGGAGU